UACGUAGGCAGCGAGCGUUGUUCGGAGUUACUGGGCGUAAAGCGCGCGCAGGCGGCGGUGCUGGCCCGGCGUGAAAGCCCCCCGGCUCAACCGGGGGAGGGUCGUCGGGGACCGCACCGCUUGAGGGCGGUAGGGGCUGGUGGAAUGCCUGGUGUAGUGGUGAAAUGCGUAGAGAUCAGGCGGAACACCCCGUGGCGAAGGCGGCCAGCUGGGGCCGUCCCUGACGCUGAGGCGCGAAGGCGUGGGGGAGCGAACGGG
rnacentral:rRNA from 1 species